GCCAAUCGGAAGUUAGCUGGUGGCGCUAUGCUUUACGACCCUGGGUGUGCUUUACGGACAAGCGCACGACAAUGACGUAGAGAGCAUAGCAACCACCCUGGGAGGGCCUAUGAGCCAUAACAACCAGUUGACCAAUCAACACAGGGCAAGCCCUCCAAGCCUGGAGGCACACCAAUCGUGAGCCUGUGCGUACCCCUAGACACUCCCCUUACGCUGCCCUAUAAGAUCUUUUGGGAGACCCAAGGAGCCGUCUUUUUCUAGCCGUCUGCCAUGGCGGGUGGGUGAAAGACCCGAGCUAACAUGGGGUUAGUUCGUUAAAUUACAAUAAAGCCUCAUGCAGUUUGCAUCAAGCUUUCGCCUCCAUUCUGUGUUUGGGGUGGCCGCCGUCCUGGACUAAGAUUCUGAAAGCCUCAGCUUUCUGAGGGUCUUACAUUUUGGGGGCUCGUCCUGGAUUUGCGACCACCCCUCACCUGAGUGGAGUCGAUCUUGGAGGGGUCUUUUCUUGAUUCUCUGAGCACGUGGCGCCACCUCAACUAUGAUCGGCAGAUGCACCCGGAGGACAGACUGCCACUCUGAGGACACCCAGGACCCAGGAGAGUGCUAGGUUUAAAUGCAUGUGCCGCCAUGCACCGGAUGAAGCUACAUUCUAAACAGCUACC
rnacentral:lncRNA from 1 species